rnacentral:tRNA from 1 species
GGGGACAUAGCUCAAUGGCAGAGCAUUCGACUGCAGAUCGAGAGGUCCCCAGUUCAAAUCCGGGUGUCCCUU